GCCUCCAUAGCAUAGUGGUAUUGCAUUUGCCUCCUAAGCGAUAGGUUGCGAGUUCGAUCUUCGCAGGGGGCC